rnacentral:rRNA from 1 species
AUAAUCGAUGAUCCNGGACCAACCCAAACGCCCCUUGUCAAGCACAGCCUACAUACCGCCGUCGCCAGCCCACCUCNAAUGAGAGCGCAACAGUGGGCGCAACAGCACCCCGCUAAUAAGACAGGUCAAGGUAUAGCCUAUGGGACGGAAGAAAUGGGCUACAUUCCCUAUGCAUAGGGCAACACGGAAAGAAGUAUGAAACUGCUUCUAGAAGGAGGAUUUAGCAGUAAAGCGGGACAAUAAAGCUCGCUUUAAGCCGGCCCUAGGGCACGU